rnacentral:rRNA from 1 species
AGAGUUUGAUCCUGGCUCAGGAUGAACGCUAGCUACAGGCUUAACACAUGCAAGUCGAGGGGAAACGAUAUUGGAAGCUUGCUUCCGAUAGGCGUCGACCGGCGCACGGGUGAGUAACGCGUAUCCAACCUGCCCACCACUUGGGGAUAACCUUGCGAAAGUAAGACUAAUACCCAAUGAUAUCUCUAGAAGACAUCUGAAAGAGAUUAAAGAUUUAUCGGUGAUGGAUGGGGAUGCGUCUGAUUAGCUUGUUGGCGGGGUAACGGCCCACCAAGGCGACGAUCAGUAGGGGUUCUGAGAGGAAGGUCCCCCACAUUGGAACUGAGACACGGUCCAAACUCCUACGGGAGGCAGCAGUGAGGAAUAUUGGUCAAUGGACGAGAGUCUGAACCAGCCAAGUAGCGUGCAGGAUGACGGCCCUAUGGGUUGUAAACUGCUUUUAUAAGGGAAUAAAGUGAGUCUCGUGAGACUUUUUGCAUGUACCUUAUGAAUAAGGACCGGCUAAUUCCGUGCCAGCAGCCGCGGUAAUACGGAAGGUCCGGGCGUUAUCCGGAUUUAUUGGGUUUAAAGGGAGCGUAGGCCGGAGAUUAAGCGUGUUGUGAAAUGUAGACGCUCAACGUCUGCACUGCAGCGCGAACUGGUUUCCUUGAGUACGCACAAAGUGGGCGGAAUUCGUGGUGUAGCGGUGAAAUGCUUAGAUAUCACGAAGAACUCCGAUUGCGAAGGCAGCUCACUGGAGCGCAACUGACGCUGAAGCUCGAAAGUGCGGGUAUCGAACAGGAUUAGAUACCCUGGUAGUCCGCACGGUAAACGAUGGAUGCCCGCUGUUGGUCUGAAUAGGUCAGCGGCCAAGCGAAAGCAUUAAGCAUCCCACCUGGGGAGUACGCCGGCAACGGUGAAAC